rnacentral:rRNA from 1 species
AUUGAACGCUGGCGGCAUGCUUUACACAUGCAAGUCGAACGGCAGCGCGGGCUUCGGCCUGGCGGCGAGUGGCGAACGGGUGAGUAAUGCAUCGGAACGUGCCCAGUAGUGGGGGAUAGCCCGUCGAAAGCCGGAUUAAUACCGCAUACGACCUGAGGGUGAAAGCGGGGGACCGAAAGGCCUCGCGCGAUUGGAGCGGCCGAGGUCGGAUUAGCUAGUUGGUGGGGUAAAGGCUUACCAAGGCGACGAUCCGUGGCUGGUCUGAGAGGACGACCAGCCACACUGGGACUGAGACACGGCCCAGACUCCUACGGGAGGCAGCAGUGGGGAAUUUUGGACAAAGGGGGCAACCCUGAUCCAGCCAUGCCGCGUGCGGGAAGAAGGCCUUCGGGUUGUAAACCGCUUUUGUUCGGGAAGAAAUCCUCUGGGCUAAUACCCCGGGGGGAUGACGGUACCGGAAGAAUAAGCACCGGCUAACUACGUG